rnacentral:rRNA from 1 species
AUAGCGUAUAUUAAAGUUGUUGCAGUUAAAAAGCUCGUAGUUGGAUUUCUGGGAGGAUGCCAAUGUCCGAUGUUUUCGUGUGCAGCGGUGUCCUCCCAUCCUUCUGUUAACGUUUCUUGGGAUUUAUUUCCUGGUGACGGGCUCAGAUAUUUUACCUUGAGAAAAUUAGAGUGUUUUAGGCAGGCUUGCGCCGGAAUACAUUAGCAUGGAAUAAUAGAAUAGGACUUUGGGCUCCUUCGUUGGUUUGAGGGUCUGAAGUAAUGAUUAAUAGGGACAGUUGGGGGCAUUAGUAUUUAAUUGUCAGAGGUGAAAUUCUCGGAUUUGUUAAAGACUAACUUAUG